AAAUAAGAUCCUUUCAGAACGCAUAAAUCUUUCGCCAUUUACUAAAGGUUUCUUUGGAAGGGAACAAAAUGAGUCUUACUCAAUUAUUCUUUAGCCCACUUCGACGGGUCU